UACGUAGGGGGCAAGCGUUGUCCGGAUUUAUUGGGCGUAAAGAGCGUGUAGGCGGCCUGGAAGGUCAGCUGUGAAAACUCGAGGCUUAACCUCGAGAUGUCAUCGGAAACCAUCUGGCUAGAGUCCGGAAGAGGAGAGUGGAAUUCCUGGUGUAGCGGUGAAAUGCGCAGAUAUCAGGAAGAACACCAAUGGCGAAAGCAGCUCUCUGGGACGGUACUGACGCUGAGACGCGAAAGCGUGGGGAGCGAACAGG
rnacentral:rRNA from 1 species